rnacentral:lncRNA from 1 species
CAAGGAAAAACAAAAUGGUCUUACUUGAUUUUCAUCCAUCAGAAGAUUGGCAGUUUUCAAGUCCCUAUGGAUGAUGUUGUUUUGAUGCAAAUAGUUCAUUCCCUUGGAAACAUCAACGGCUACUUUGAGUAAAGAUGGCAAUUUAAACACUCCCCUUUGCUUAUGCAGAUAGUCAUAUAUGCUACCUCUGGCCAUGAACUCUGAUGAUGCACAAAUACCACUAUCAAAAACUGAUUAUUUAUAAAAUGCAAUGAAAAUCUUAUUUUCUUAAAUGAAGUUCAUAGAGUUUAUCAUAGGAAAAAUUAGAAGGGGUGAAAAGGCAUACAAAUCUGACAAAUUAAAUUUUGGUAUAGAGAUGGAAUUCACAGACAUUAAAUUCGUAAUGGUAGGUUUUGUCAAUCUCUCAGUUUGCACUCCAAAGCCAGAAUUGUUCCCUUCUAGCAACAUAAUUAUAGAUUAAUCUGGUAAAGAUGAAAAACAGCAACAUUGUUGAAGCAAAAUUUUUAAAUUUUACGCGCAGAGAAAGAAAGUAUAGAGCAUAGUAACACAUGGCAGGAAAAGUUAACUAGAUUAUAC